ensembl:lncRNA
AUGCCUGAUAUCAUUGUCAAGCACUGUAUUACCUUAAACCCUGCCUCACUCCUCCCCAUUGAGGAUGAGGGAGAACCACAUGAUUGUGUUGCACUCACUAACCAACUCUGUUCUCCUAGGGAAGACCUGAAGGAGGACCCGCUAGACAAUCCUGACCUCAUCCUGUAUGUUGAUGGCUCUGCCUCCAGAAAUCUUGACACGGGCAAGAAUCAAGUGGGAUAUGCUGUGGUAACAGAUCAUGACACGGGAAUUUUAGAGAGCUGUGACAUGACUUCCCUUCUGUGCAGACUACAAGGGGUCUUUACUCCCCACUAAUAAGACUGCAUGCAGUUGGAGACGCCAUUCUCUGUACCUUCAUUUUGCCAGGAGUUAGCCAACCUGGAGUCCAAUCAAUGUGAUGAGAUUGGAUGUGUUGGUUAAAGCUGCCCUGCCCUAUAAAAACCAUACACCAGUUUUGAGUUUGCUGUUCUCAAGAAGCAUGCGUUCAGGUCAGAAGACCUGCGUUCAAGAAUUGUUGACUUGCAUGAAGCUAGAAAGGGUUACAAAAGUAUCUCUAAAAGCCUUGAUAUUCAUGUGUCCACAGUAAGACAGACUGUCUACAAACGGAGACCCUCCCCAAGUGUGGUUGUCCUGUAAAGAAGAUUGCAAGAACACAGCGCAGAAUGCUCAAUGAGGUGAAGAAGAAUCCUAGAGUGUGAGCUAAAGACCUACAGAAAUCUCUGGCACAUGCCAACAUUUUUGUUGACAAAUCUACAAUAAGUAAAACAUUAAACAAGAAUGUAGUUCAUGGGAGGACACCACGGAGAAAGGCACUGGUGUCCAAAAAAAAAAAACACCGCUGCACGUUUGAAGUUUGCAAAAGAGGACCUGGAUAAUCCACAGCACUACUG